GCCGCUCUCUUUAUAGGGCCAGGCUCUUUAUAGGGCCAGGUUCUAUAGGGCCAAGCUCUUUAUGGGGCCAGGCCUUUUAUAGGGCCCGGCUCUUGUAGGAUCAGACCCUUUAUAUGGCCAGGGCCUUUAUAGGGUCAGGCUGUUUAUAGGGCUGCUCUCUUAUAGGGUCAGGCUCUUUAUAGGGCCAAGUUCCCAUAGGGCCCGGCUCUUUAUGGGGUCAGGUUCCUAUAGGGCCAGGCUUUUUAUAGGGCUGUUUAUAGGGUCAGGCUCUUUAUAGGGUCAGGCUCUUUAUAGAGCCAGGCUGUUUAUAGGGCCAGGUUCUUAUAGGAUCAGGCUGUUUAUGGGGCCAGGCUCUUUAUAGGGCCGCUCUCUUAUAGGAUCAGGUUCUUUAUAGGGCCCGGUUCCUAUAGGGUCAGACUGUUUAUAGGGCCAGGCUCUUUAUAUGGCUGUUAUAGGGCCAGGCUCUGUAUAGGGCCAAGUUCCUAUAGGGCCAGGCUGUUUAUAGGAUCAGGCUCUUUAUAGGGCCGUUCUCUUAUAGGCUCUGACCCUUUAUAGGGCUGCUCUCUUAUAGGAUCAGGCUCUUUAUAGGGUCUCGUUCCUAUAGGAUCAGGCUCUUUAUAGGGCCAGGCUCUUUAUAGGGCCAAGUUCCUAUAGAGCCAGGCUCCUUAUAGGGCCAGACUCUUUAUUGGGUCUUAUAGGGUCAGGCUGUUCAUAGGGUCAGGCUGUUUAUAGGGCCAGGCUGUUUAUAGGGUCAGGCUGUUUAUAGGGCCAGGCUGUUUAUAGGGUCAGGCUGUUUAUAGGGCCAGGCUCUUUAUAGGGCCAGGCUGUUUAUAGGGCCAGGCUGUUUAUAGGGCCAGGCUCUUUAUAGGGUCAGGCUGUUUAUAGGGCCAGGCUCUUUAUAGGGUCAGGCUCUUUAUAGGGCCAGGCUGCUUAUAGGGCCAGGCUGCUUAUAGGGCCAGGCUCUUUAUAGGGUCAGGCUCUUUAUAGGGUCAGGUUCCUAUAGGGCCAGGCUCUUUAUAGGGCUGUUAUAGGGCCAGGCUCUUUAUAGGGCCAAGUUCCUAUAGGGCCAGACUCUUUAUAGGGUCAGCCCCUUUAUAGGGCCCGGUUCCUAUAGGGCUUGGCUCUUUAUAGGGCCAAGUUCCUAUAGGGCCAGGCUCUUUAUAGGGCCAGGCUCUUUAUAGGGCCCGGUUCCUAUAGGGCCAGGGUGUUUAUAGGGCCAGGCUCUUUAUAGGGCCAGGUUCUUAUAGGAUUAGGCUGUUUAUAGGGCCCAGCUCUUUAUGGGGUCAGGAUCCUAUAGGGCCAGGCUCUUUAUGGGGCUGUUUAUGGGGCCAGACUCUUUAUAGGGUCUUACAGGGUCAGGCUCUUUAUAGGGCCAGGCUCUUUAUGGGGCUGUUUAUGGGGCCAGACUCUUUAUAGGGUCUUACAGGGUCAGGCUCUUUAUAGGGCCAGGUUCCUAUAGGGUCAGGCUCUUUAUAGGGCCGUUCUCUUAUAGGGCCAGGCUCUUUAUAGGGCCAGGCUCUUUAUAGGGCCGCUCUGUUAUAGGAUCAGGCUCUUUAUAGUGCCAAGUUCCUAUAGGGCCUGGCUCCUUAUAGGGCUGCUCUUUAUAGGGUCAGGCUGUUUAUAGGGCCAGACUCUUUAUAGGGUCUUAAUAGGACCAGACUCUUUAUGGGGCCAGGCUCCUUAUAGGGCCGCUCUCUUAUAGGGCCAGGCUCUUUAUAGGGCCAAGUUCUUAUAGGAUUGGGCUGUUUAUGGGGCCAGGUUCUUUAUAGGGUCAGGCUCUUUAUACGGCCAAGAUCCUAUAGGGUCAGGCUGUUUAUAGGGUCAGGCUCUUUAUAGGGCCUUUAUAUGGCCAGGCUCUUUAUGGGACCAGGUUCUUAUAGGAUCAGACCAGGCCAGGGCGAGGCUUCUUAUAGGGCCAGGCUCUUUAUAGGGCCAGGCUCUUUAUAGGGCCGCUCUCUUAUAGGAUCAGGCUCUUUAUAGCGCCCGGUUCCUAUAGGGCCAGGCUGUUUAUAGGGCCAGGCUCUUUAUAGGGCCAAGUUCCUAUAGGGCCAGGCUCUUUAUAGGGCCAGGCUGUUUAUAGGGCCAAGUUCCUAUAGAGUUAGGCUGUUUAUAGGGCCAAGUUCCUAUAGAGUUAGGCUGUUUAUAGGGCCAGGCUCUUUAUGGGGCCAGGCUCUUUAUAUGGCUGUUAUAGGGCCAGGCUGUUUAUGGGGCCAAGUUCCUAUAGGGCCAGGCUGUUUA